UAGGCGGCUCUAAUCUACACCGGGGCCAGGACUGGCAUAGAACCAACCCCAGAAUCAAGGAGCUGUAACCCAUUCUUUUGUUGCCCAUCCCAGGGCUGCAGCCAGCUAACAUAACAUACAGCCAGACUCUACGCUUUAGAUUUUGUUAUUGUUUGUGGUACACCUAAAUAAUGUUUUCUAUGCCUUUAUAGUCUAUUGACGCUCCUUAAGGAAUAUUGAUCCUAUUUUCUAUCCCUUCAUAUCCCACCACAUUACUACAGUGAUUGUUCAAGAAGAGCUGUUCAGAUUUUCUGUUUUGUUAUUUUCUUCCUAACUCAGUUCCUUUUGACACCAGCUCAUUGUCGUGUGGUUUGUUGCUUUUUUCUAUUUUUAUUUUUUUAACUCCUUUGGAAUUUCCAGCAUUUUCCUUUCCUGUCUACUCUUCAUGAUAAGAGAAUUUCAAAAACAUCUGCACCCUAUCAGGAUUAUCACAGGGCAUAUAAAACUGAACACAAGGAGUACAAAAAUGCUUGAUGGCAGAGCUUCAUGUCCUCCAGGAAGUGACCUGGCAACCAUCUGGGCUCCCUGGAGUUUCAGAGUUUAAAAACAGGUUUGAAUCUUCAUUUCUAACGCAUCAGUGACCCUGUUUGUUCUAGUUCAAAAAACCAAAGCUGUUUUGAAUCAUCACUAUAGGAUGAUGGAAGCCAGCAUGUCUCUCUCACCUAAUCUGGUAGUCUCCUUUGUAACAUCAGAUGCUAUUAUAUCAUAGCUUUACCACCCAGAUAGAGGGUUUUCAUUGGUGUAUGUCAGGAGACAGUUGGGGCAGUGUGAGGCUAACGGCUCCUGUCCUCCCCCACAGAGGACUCUAACACCUGUCAUUUAUUAUAUCAGCCACCACCCUUUCCAGUCCCAUGCAGUAAUUAUAUUUACGGUGACAUACAAUCAUCCCCUUUUGCCAGAGAGAAGAGACCACUCCAUGCAGAGAGUUCCUUUUUUCUGUGGCCGUGCUAGCCUCUCCCAGCGGCUCUCUCUUUCUCUCCUUCUCUCCCUCCUGGGCUUCUUUUCUACUCUUGCAGUUAAUGGGCUAAUUAGCGACUUAGCUUUUCCCAGCCCAGGCUGUUCUAGUAAUUAGCCACUUCUUUCCUCAGUCAGGCCCUUUCCAGGGGCACUCAUUGGAUAAAUUGAUAAGGAUGAGUACAAGAGAAUAUCCCAAGCACAUAGGGACAACAUGAGAAAAGCUACAGUAUAAAAGCUACUCUGAAACCUGGUAUAAAAUCAGUUACACCUAGCAAGGGACAUAAAAGACAAUAAGAAGGUCUAUAAAUACAUUAGGAGAAAGAGACCGGCAAAGGCAAGUGUAGGUCCACUACUUAGUAGGGAUGGAGAGCUAAUAACGGAUGGUGCUGAGAACACUGAGGUGUUCAAUGCCUAUUUUGCUUCUGUCUUCACUAAAAAAAGGUUAAUUGUGACCGGGUGGCGAUCCACAAAGGGAUUUAAGCCCUGCGAUGCUCAGCAUCACAGUGCCUAACUUUUAGAUACCUAGAAAACCACAGGAAUACACUGUGAUCCACAAAGUCUGAAUUGGGCAUCGAGGCUCCCAAUACAAUGAAUGGGGAGACAUAGAUGCCUUAAAUAGUGAUUCACAAAAGCCAGCAGGCUAGGCGGGGAACCGCCUAUGCUAGCCAGUAGGAGAUGCUGAUGGGGGAUGGGGUGCUAAGCCCCAUCCAUCUCUUGGAGAUAGGUGCCUAAAUCCAUAUUGCAGGGAGGCUCCUGACUCUGCUUAGCAAUCCACAAACAGGGACCUGCUGCCUGGAGUCAGAUGACUUAGGUGAUUCAGGAGUGUCUUGUGGAAAUGAGUUAGGUGCCUGUCUUGCUCCACACAAUAUGGCCAAAGGGGGAGUGGGGAUCUUCUUAU
rnacentral:lncRNA from 1 species